GAUUGAUCUUAUCACUUUAUUUACGAUACAAGGAAAGUAGGUUUGCUACAUGUAUCUUCUUAAUUUUUUUUCAAUUUUACCCCUUUAAACUUUUUUAAAGGGCUAUAACUAAUAGAUUUCAAUUAUACUGCCACCUGCCUUUCUCCAAGGCAAUCAGUAUACUAGCAGUUUUCAAUAAACAUAUAAAUCAGUUAGGAAGACAUAAAAGAAAGCAUUUAUGAUAACAUUUAAUUUAUAUAGGGCACCGGGAUAUCGCGAAAUAUGAUUGUGUUAAUAAAUCGCGCGAUAAAGAUAUCGCGAAAUUUUCCCGGUUUACAGUAUAAUAAAACCCCCUUCGCACAGGAAUAUAAUUUGUCCAAAAUAAGGUAUUCUUCCAGAAAUGAUAUAUUUGGUAAAGAUUGACACAACAUUUAAUAUGAUUUUGACAUCGCAAUGUAGGCACCCAUGGCUUAUUGCAUUCUUGGACAAGUAUGACAUCAUCAUUAACUUUGAACUCAGGUUCCUUAAAUGAAGAGCUAGCGCGCAUGGUCCACCAUCACAAC
rnacentral:lncRNA from 1 species